rnacentral:rRNA from 1 species
UACGAAGGGGGCUAGCGUUGCUCGGAAUCACUGGGCGUAAAGCGCACGUAGGCGGUUUGCUAAGUCAGGGGUGAAAUCCUGGAGCUCAACUCCAGAACUGCCUUUGAUACUGGCCGGUACUUGAGUCCGGGAGAGGUGAGUGGAACUGCGAGUGUAGAGGUGAAAUUCGUAGAUAUUACGGAAGAACACCAGUGGCGAAGGCGGCUCACUGGUCCGGUACUGACGCUGAGGUGCGAAAGCGUGGGGAGCAAAGCAGGAGUUAAG